GACGAACGCUGGCGGCGUGCCUAAUACAUGCAAGUUGAGCGAUGAAGAUUGGUGCUUGCACCAAUUUGAAGAGCAGCGAACGGGUGAGUAACGCGUGGGGAAUCUGCCUUUGAGCGGGGGGCAACAUUUGGAAACGAAUGCUAAUACCGCAUAACAACUUUAAACAUAAGUUUUAAGUUUGAAAGAUGCAAUUGCAUCACUCAAAGAUGAUCCCGCGUUGUAUUAGCUAGUUGGUGAGGUAAAGGCUCACCAAGGCGAUGAUACAUAGCCGACCUGAGAGGGUGAUCGGCCACAUUGGGACUGAGACACGGCCCAAACUCCUACGGGAGGCAGCAGUAGGGAAUCUUCGGCAAUGGACGAAAGUCUGACCGAGCAACGCCGCGUGAGUGAAGAAGGUUUUCGGAUCGUAAAACUCUGUUGGUAGAGAAGAACGUUGGUGAGAGUGGAAAGCUCAUCAAGUGACGGUAACUACCCAGAAAGGGACGGCUAACUACAUG
rnacentral:rRNA from 1 species